GAUGAAGAACGCAGCGAAAUGCGAUACGUAAUGUGAAUUGCAGAAUUCAGUGAAUCAUCGAAUCUUUGAACGCACAUUGCGCCCCUUGGUAUUCCAUGGGGCAUGCCUGUUCGAGCGUCAUUUGUACCUUCAAGCUCUGCUUGGUGUUGGGUGUUUGUCCUUGCUCUAGUGGCGGGACUCGCCUUAAAGUAAUUGGCAGCCAGUGUUUUGGUUUUGAAGCGCAGCACAAGUCGCGAUUCAAGUCUAUACGCUAGUUUCCACAAGUCUUUUAUCACUUUUGACCUCGGAUCAGGUAGGGAUACCCGCUGAACUUAAGCAUAUCAAUAAGCGGAGGA
rnacentral:misc_RNA from 1 species